CAGUUCGGACUGCAGUCUGCAACUCGACUGCACGAAGCUGGAAUCGCUAGUAAUCGCGGAUCAGCACGCCGCGGUGAAUACGUUCCCGGGCCUUGUACACACCGCCCGUCACACCAUGGAAGUCUGCAAUGCCCGAAGCCGGUGGCCUAACCACUUAUGUGGAAGGAGCCGUCUAAGGCAGGGCAGAUGACUGGGGUGAAGUCGUAACAAGGUAGC
rnacentral:rRNA from 1 species